ACUUCUAUCCGGACGGGAAGAGCGUGGAGGAUAACGCCACAUAUGUGUCGCUCUUCAUUGCGCUAGCGAGCGAGGGGACCGACGUGCGGGCGCUGUUCGAGCUGUCCCUGCGGGAUCAGAGCGGGAAGGAGCCCCCCACCCGAUCACACCGGCAUGCUUCAAGAUACAGGGUAUUGCAAUGCUUCCUACUACAGAACUUCCAGUCAAGAACUUUGUGAAAUUCACCCAACUAUUUCCACUGCUGGAUAGCGGGGAAGAGUCGGACCCCACAAAGAACAUCAGUGGCAUCGGAAGAAAGACGUACAUUAUCA
rnacentral:misc_RNA from 1 species